GUCUACGGCCAUACCACCCUGAACGCGCCCGAUCUCGUAUGAUCUCGGAAGCUAAGCAGGGUCGGGCCUGGUUAGUACUUGGAUGGGAGAUAUAUAGGUAUAAAUCACAGAAAAAGGAGCUGAAUUUG
rnacentral:rRNA from 1 species